ACUAGGUACAGCUCAGAAGGAAAUCUCACGGAUAUGGCACCUUAUGCAUGGCUACUUAAAUGUUGUUCUUUGGUCAUGGCUCCUUGGGUAGCAAAGGCUUAUUAACUGAAAAGGCCAGGAGGAAAGGCAAAUGUCUGAAGAGGCAUCCAUUUCCCAUGCUGUUUCCUGCUACAGAAAGUCCAGGGGCAACUGUUAAUGUUGAAAUGCUUCUGUCUUAAGAUGAUUCAAGUCCUUUAAACAAUUCGUGGGAUUUGUCUAUGUCUAACUAGAGUGUACUCCGAAAGACCAAAGACACACUCACAGGUCUCUUCAAGACCUACUCCUCUCUACUGAGGCUACCUGUUGUGGAACAAUGUCCUAAGAAUUCUAAGAAGCCAUUCAAACCUGAUAUCAGCCUUUAUCAUCAUCACCGCAUCAUCGUCACCAUGCUUAUUGUUCAUGUAUCAUCACGGUUAUAGAGCCCGAGAACUAAAGAAAGGAGAUUCUACAAAGCUGAAUUGGUAUCAUCAGGCAGCAGCAGCAGCAGCAACAACAGCAACA